GUAUUGCAUUGCGUUAAACGCGGCAUACAUUCCAUAAGACUUUAUUACAGUGUGUUUGUGGUGACAUAGAACUAUGAAAGGAGGACAGAGUCUCUCCCCUGGAUCAUAGAACUACAGAGGGUGCACAGAUGUGAGUGGAUGUGUAAACAGAGCGUGCACAUGCCCCCAGCUUGAGGACCAGCAACAGCUCAUGUUGACAGUUCAAUAAUGAUCCUUCCGCAGGUUCACCUACGGAAA
rnacentral:misc_RNA from 1 species